rnacentral:sRNA from 1 species
CGAAGCGAGAGAACGUUGCCGCUGGCAAUGGCCCGAAGGCGAGGCGCUUUAGCGCCGAGUAAUCCUUCCCCCACCACUG